rnacentral:rRNA from 1 species
AGUGAACGCUGGCGGUAGGCCUAACACAUGCAAGUCGAACGGCAGCACAGUAAGAACUUGCUCUUACGGGUGGCGAGUGGCGGACGGGUGAGGAAUACAUCGGAAUCUACUUUUUCGUGGGGGAUAACGUAGGUAAACUUACGCUAAUACCGCAUACGACCUACGGGUGAAAGCAGGUGAUCUUCGGACCUUGCGCGAAUGAAUGAGCCGAUGUCGGAUUAGCUAGUUGGCGGGGUAAAGGCCCACCAAGGCGACGAUCCGUAACUGGUCUGAGAGGAUGAUCAGCCACACUGGAACUGAGACACGGUCCAGACUCCUACGGGAGGCAGCAGUGGAGAAUAUUGGACAAUGGGCGCAAGCCUGAUCCAGCCAUACCGCGUGGGUGAAGAAGGCCUUCGGGUUGUAAAGCCCUUUUGUUGGGAAAGAAAAGCAGCAGGUUAAUACCCCGCUGUUCUGACGGUACCCAAAGAAUAAGCACCGGCUAACUUCGUG